AGAAAAUGUGGAGUGCAUGGCAGGCUGGCAACGGAGCAGU
rnacentral:SRP_RNA from 11 species